GAUGAACGCUGGCGGCGUGCUUAACACAUGCAAGUCGAACGGAGCACCCCUGAAGGAGUUUUCGGACAACUGAAGGGAAUGCUUAGUGGCGGACGGGUGAGUAACGCGUGAGUAACCUGCCUUGGAGUGGGGAAUAACAGUUGGAAACAGCUGCUAAUACCGCAUGAUGCAGUUGAGUCGCAUGGCUCUGACUGCCAAAGAUUUAUCGCUCUGAGAUGGACUCGCGUCUGAUUAGCUAGUUGGCGGGGUAACGGCCCACCAAGGCGACGAUCAGUAGCCGGACUGAGAGGUUGGCCGGCCACAUUGGGACUGAGACACGGCCCAG
rnacentral:rRNA from 1 species